rnacentral:rRNA from 1 species
UAGGGAAUCUUCGGCAAUGGACGGAAGUCUGACCGAGCAACGCCGCGUGAGUGAAGAAGGUUUUCGGAUCGUAAAGCUCUGUUGUAAGAGAAGAACGAGUGUGAGAGUGGAAAGUUCACACUGUGACGGUAUCUUACCAGAAAGGGACGGCUAACUACGUGCCAGCAGCCGCGGUAAUACGUAGGUCCCGAGCGUUGUCCGGAUUUAUUGGGCGUAAAGCGAGCGCAGGCGGUUAGAUAAGUCUGAAGUUAAAGGCUGUGGCUUAACCAUAGUACGCUUUGGAAACUGUUUAACUUGAGUGCAAGAGGGGAGAGUGGAAUUCCAUGUGUAGCGGUGAAAUGCGUAGAUAUAUGGAGGAACACCGGUGGCGAAAGCGGCUCUCUGGCUUGUAACUGACGCUGAGGCUCGAAAGCGUGGGGAGCAAACAGGAUUAGAUACCCUGGUAGUCCACGCCGUAAACGGUGAGUGCUAGGUGUUAGACCCUUUCCGGGGUUUAGUGCCGUAGCUAACGCAUUAAGCACUCCGCCUGGGGAGUACGACCGCAAGGUUG